rnacentral:rRNA from 1 species
GUUGUAUAGUCAAGUAAUUAAGUGCAUGUGGUGGAUGCCUUGGCAGUCAGAGGCGAUGAAAGACGUGAUAGCCUGCGAAAAGCUCCGGGGAGGCGGCAAAUAUCCUUUGAUCCGGAGAUGUCUGAAUGGGGGAACCCACCUACUUUAAGGUAGGUAUUGCAACAUGAAUACAUAGUGUUGCAAGGCGAACGAGGGGAAGUGAAACAUCUCAGUACCCUUAGGAAAAGAAAUCAAUUGAGAUUCCCUCAGUAGCGGCGAGCGAACGGGGAUCAGCCCAUUAAGUUAUGUGUGUUUUAGUGGAACGCUCUGGGAAGUGCGAACGUAGAGGGUGAUAUUCCCGUACACGAAAGGGCACACAUAAUGAUGACGAGUAGGGCGAGGCACGUGAAACCUUGUCUGAAUAUGGGGGGACCAUCCUCCAAGGCUAAAUACUCCUGACUGACCGAUAGUGAACCAGUACCGUGAGGGAAAGGCGAAAAGAACCCCUGUGAGGGGAGUGAAAUAGAUCCUGAAACCGCAUGCAUACAAGCAGUGGGAGCACCUUCGUGGUGUGACUGCGUACCUUUUGUAUAAUGGGUCAGCGACUUAUAUUCAGUAGCGAGGUUAACCGUAUAGGGGAGCCGUAGAGAAAUCGAGUCUUAAUAGGGCGUUUAGUUGCUGGGUAUAGACCCGAAACCAGGCGAUCUAUCCAUGAGCAGGUUGAAGGUUGGGUAACACUAACUGGAGGACCGAACCCACUGUCGUUGAAAAGCCAGGGGAUGACUUGUGGAUAGGGGUGAAAGGCUAAUCAAGCCUGGUGAUAGCUGGUUCUCCCCGAAAGCUAUUUAGGUAGCGCCUCGGACGAAUACCAUAGGGGGUAGAGCACUGUUUCGGCUAGGGGGNNNNCCNNNNUNNCNAANCNNNNNNAANNNCNNANNNCNNNNNNNNCUAUCCGGGAGACAGACUGCGGGUGCUAACGUCCGUAGUCAAGAGGAAAACAAUCCAGACCGCCAGCUAAGGCCCCAAAAUCAUAGUUAAGUGGGAAACGAUGUGGGAAGGCAUAGACAGCUAGGAGGUUGGCUUAGAAGCAGCCACCCUUUAAAGAAAGCGUAAUAGCUCACUAGUCGAGUCGGCCUGCGCGGAAGAUGUAACGGGGCUAAAACUAUGUGCCGAAGCUGCGGAUGUAUACUUUGUAUACGUGGUAGGGGAGCGUUCUGUAAGCCGAUGAAGGUGUGUUGAGAAGCAUGCUGGAGGUAUCAGAAGUGCGAAUGCUGACGUGAGUAACGACAAAACGGGUGAAAAACCCGUUCGCCGAAAGACCAAGGGUUCCAGUCCAACGUUAAUCGGGGCUGGGUGAGUCGACCCCUAAGGCGAGGCCGAAAGGCGUAGUCGAUGGGAAAAUGGUUAAUAUUCCAUUACUUCUGUGUAAUGCGAUGAGAGGACGGAGAAGGCUAAAUCAGCCUGGCGUUGGUUGUCCAGGUGAAAGGAUGUAGGCAUGUAUCUUAGGCAAAUCCGGGGUACUCUAUGCUGAGAUCUGAUAGCAAGCUGUACUUGUACAGCGAAGUGGUUGAUGCCAUGCUUCCAGGAAAAGUCUCUAAGCUUCAGUUACACAGGAAUCGUACCCGAAACCGACACAGGUGGUCAGGUCGAGUAGACCAAGGCGCUUGAGAGAACUCUGCUGAAGGAACUAGGCAAAAUGGUACCGUAACUUCGGGAGAAGGUACGCUGUUGUUGGUGAUGGAACUCGCUUCCUGAGCUGACGACAGCCGCAGAAACCAGGCCGCUGCAACUGUUUAUUAAAAACAUAGCACUCUGCAAACACGAAAGUGGACGUAUAGGGUGUGAUGCCUGCCCGGUGCUGGAAGGUUAAUUGAUGGGGUUAGCGUAAGCGAAGCUCUUGAUCGAAGCCCCAGUAAACGGCGGCCGUAACUAUAACGGUCCUAAGGUAGCGAAAUUCCUUGUCGGGUAAGUUCCGACCUGCACGAAUGGCAUAAUGAUGGCGGCGCUGUCUCCAGCAGAGGCUCAGUGAAAUCGAAAUCGCUGUGAAGAUGCAGUGUACCCGCGGCUAGACGGAAAGACCCCGUGAACCUUUACUGCAGCUUGACACUGAACUUUGACCUUACUUGUGUAGGAUAGGUGGGAGGCUUUGAAGCUGGAACGCUAGUUCCAGUGGAGCCGUCCUUGAAAUACCACCCUGGUAAUGUUGAGGUUCUAACUCUGUCCCGUGAUCCGGGACGAGGACCGUGUCUGGUGGGUAGUUUGACUGGGGCGGUCUCCUCCUAAAGAGUAACGGAGGAGUACGAAGGUGCGCUCAGCGUGGUCGGAAAUCACGCGUAGAGUAUAAAGGCAAAAGCGCGCUUAACUGCGAGACCCACAAGUCGAGCAGGUACGAAAGUAGGUCUUAGUGAUCCGGUGGUUCUGUAUGGAAGGGCCAUCGCUCAACGGAUAAAAGGUACUCUGGGGAUAACAGGCUGAUACCGCCCAAGAGUUCAUAUCGACGGCGGUGUUUGGCACCUCGAUGUCGGCUCAUCUCAUCCUGGGGCUGAAGCAGGUCCCAAGGGUAUGGCUGUUCGCCAUUUAAAGAGGUACGCGAGCUGGGUUUAGAACGUCGUGAGACAGUUCGGUCCCUAUCUACCGUGGGCGCUGGAAAUUUGAGAGGAUCUGCUCCUAGUACGAGAGGACCAGAGUGGACGAACCUCUGGUGUACCGGUUGUGACGCCAGUCGCAUCGCCGGGUAGCUAUGUUCGGAAGGGAUAACCGCUGAAAGCAUCUAAGCGGGAAGCCUACCUCAAGAUAAGAUUUCCCUAGGACUUUAUGUCCUCUAAAGAGCCGUUCGAGACUAGGACGUUGAUAGGUUGGAUGUGGAAGCAUAGUGAUAUGUGAAGCUGACCAAUACUAAUUGCUCGUGAGGCUUGACUAUACAACACCCAAGCAGUUG